AUGUUCUCGCGAUCCUACACCAACCUGCUCGAUCUCGCCAAUGGGAAUCUCUCGGCACUCGACUACGGGGGUUCCAGCGGGGGUGGCGGCGGGCGGCCGCCGCGGCCGAGGCGGAUGCAGAGGACGUUGACGACGCCGGGCACGCUGGCGGAGCUCGACGAGGAGCGCGCGGGGAGCGUAGCUUCGGACGUGCAGUCGUCGCUCGCCAACGACCGCAUCAUCGUUGUCGCCAAUACGCUCCCCGUGCGCUGCGAGCGCCGACCCGACGGCCGCGGCUGGACCUUCUGCUGGGACGAAGACUCGCUCCUGCUCCACCUCCGCGACGGCCUCCCCGAGGACAUGGAGGUCCUCUACGUCGGCUCCCUCCGCGCCGACGUGCCAGCCGCUGAGCAGGAAGACGUCGCGCAGGCGCUCCUCGACAGGUUCCGCUGCGUACCGGCCUUCCUCCCCAAGGACCUCUCCGACCGCUUCUACCACGGCUUCUGCAAGCAGACCCUGUGGCCGCUCUUCCACUACAUGCUCCCCUUCACCUCCGACCACGGUGGCCGCUUCGACCGCUCCAACUGGGAGGCCUACGUCCUUGCGAACAAACUCUUCUCGCAGCGCGUCAUCGAGGUCCUCAACCCCGACGACGACUACAUCUGGAUCCACGACUACCACCUCCUGGCGCUCCCCUCUUUCCUGCGCCGCCGAUUCAACCGCCUCCGCAUCGGAUUCUUCCUGCACAGCCCAUUCCCAUCAUCGGAGCUCUACCGUAGCCUGCCCGUCCGUGACGAGAUCCUCAAAUCCUUGCUCAACUGUGAUCUCAUUGGCUUCCAUACCUUUGAUUACGCCCGCCAUUUCCUCUCUUGCUGCAGCCGCAUGCUCGGAAUCGAGUACCAAUCCAAGAGAGGCUACAUUGGGCUCGAUUACUUUGGCCGCACUGUGGGGAUAAAGAUCAUGCCUGUUGGGAUUAACAUGGUGCAGCUUAAAUCGCAGCUCCAGCUUCCUGAUCUCGAGUCGCGUGUUGCAGAGCUACGGAAGCAGUUUCAUGGGAAGACUGUCUUGCUUGGUGUGGAUGAUCUGGACAUAUUCAAGGGGAUUAACCUGAAGAUUCUUGCGUUUGAGCAUAUGCUCAAGACACACCCAAAAUGGCAGGGCCGAGCAGUGCUAGUGCAGAUUGCAAACCCAAGGGGUGGUAGUGGGAAGGACGUGCAAGGAUUAAAGGCUGAGAUCGAGGAAAGUUGCACGAGGAUUAAUCAACAGUUUGGGCGGUCGGGGUAUAGUCCUGUGGAGCUUGUUUAUAGGACAUUGUCGAGUGUGGAAAGGAUGACAUAUUACACUCUGGCUGAGUGCGUCGUUGUUACUGCAGUGAGGGAUGGGAUGAACCUCACACCAUAUGAGUACAUUGUGUGUAGACAGGGGAUUCCUGGUUUGGAUGGUGGUGAUGCACCAAAGAGGAAAAGUAUGCUAGUUGUGUCAGAAUUCAUAGGUUGCUCGCCAUCAUUGAGUGGAGCAAUCCGGGUGAACCCUUGGAACAUUGAUACAACAGCAGAGGCAAUGAACGAGUCCAUUGCUUUGUCAGAGAAUGAAAAGCAAUUGCGCCAUGAGAAGCAUUAUCGAUAUGUCUGCACACAUGAUGUUGCCUAUUGGUCUAAGAGCUAUAUUCAUGAUCUGGAGAGAAGCUGCAGGGACCAUUUUAGGAGGAGGUGCUGGGGUAUUGGACUUGGAUUUGGAUUUAGAGUGGUUGCUCUAGACCGCAACUUCAAAAAGCUUACAGUGGAUUCUAUUGUUGCUGAUUACAAGAAGUCGAACAGCAGGGUUAUACUUCUGGACUAUGAUGGAACUCUAGUACCACAAACUACGAUCAAUCGAACUCCAAAUGAGACUGUUGUUAACAUCAUGAAUGCUCUUUGUGCUGAUAAGAAGAAUGUUGUUUUCAUUGUAAGUGGAAGAGGUAGGAGUAGCCUUGAGAAGUGGUUCAACUCUUGCCCUGAGCUUGGCAUUGCGGCUGAACAUGGUUACUUUAUGAGGCGAACCAGAGAUGAGCAAUGGCAAAUAAAUAACCAGUGCUCAGAGUUUGGAUGGAUGCAAAUGGCUGAGCCAGUAAUGAACCUGUAUACAGAAGCUACUGAUGGUUCGUAUAUCGAAACCAAAGAGAGUGCUUUGGUCUGGCACCACCAAGAUGCUGACCCUGGUUUUGGAUCUGCACAAGCAAAAGAAAUGUUAGAUCAUUUGGAGAGUGUUCUUGCCAAUGAGCCAGUCUCUGUGAAGAGUGGCCAACACAUUGUAGAGGUUAAACCUCAGAGUGUCAGCAAGGGAUUUGUCGCGGAGAAGAUCCUAUCGAUGCUGACAGAGAAUAAAAGACAAGCAGAUUUUGUCCUCUGCAUAGGUGAUGAUCGAUCAGAUGAGGAUAUGUUUGAAGGAAUAGCUGAUAUUAUGAGGCGGAGCAUUGUUGAUCCCCAAACCUCGCUCUAUGCCUGCACAGUCGGCCAGAAACCAAGCAAGGCCAAGUAUUAUUUGGAUGAUACUAAUGAUGUUUUGAACAUGCUCGAGGCACUUGCAGAUGUAUCAGAGGAGGUUGGUUCACCAGAAGAAUUGGAGAUACUUUCUCCGUCGGAGGAGGCAUGA
rnacentral:rRNA from 1 species